UACGGAGGGUGCGAGCGUUGUCCGGAAUCAUUGGGCGAAAGGGCGCGUAGGUGGCCCGGUCAGUCCGUGGUGAAAGCGCGGGGCUCAACCCCGCGUCGGCCAUGGAUACUGCUGGGCUUGAGCACUGUAGAGGCAGGCGGAAUUCCGGGGUGUAGCGGUGGAAUGCGUAGAGAUCCGGAAGAACACCAGUGGCGAAGGCGACUUACUGGACACAUAUUGACGCUGAGGUGCGAAAGCGUGGGGGAGCAAACAGG
rnacentral:rRNA from 1 species